GCAAAAUAAUAUUUACCAGGUUCUCCCGGUUUUACCGGGGGUGAAAAGGGAACCGGGUGAAAAUCCCGGACGGUCCGGCCACUGUAAGUGGGGAGCGGCUCCCAGGAUGCCACUGUCCGAUUCUCAACGGCAUCCCGGCUGUCGAAGGCGCCUGAAAUUUUGCCUGAGGCAGCUGGUUUGAAAGGUUGUUGUGAAGUGCCGUUGAGUGCAGGAUGGGAAGGCGGGGGAUACGCUGUGAUCCACAAGUCAGGAGACCUGCCUGGUAGCUUUAGUACCG
rnacentral:ncRNA from 2 species